AUGGAUCUAGAAGACAAAAAAAAAAAAAGGUAAAAAGAAUGGAAUGGAAACUCUGAUAGUACACCUGUCACCUCUUACUCUCAUCACAUGGCCAGAUAAUCUUCUCUGUCAAACCUUUUUUUUUUCCUUUUCUUUUCUUUUUUUUUUUUUUUUUUGGUGACAGCCUUUACUAUUCCCUCCUUUAUCUUCAGUUUCUCACUGGUUCUAAGUUGCUUUCUACUCAUAAUUAACCCAUAGUUAAUGCUCACCUUUAGUUCUUUGAUGGAAGUAUCAUUUGAAGUCUUACUGCUAUACAGAAACACUGGUGAAGUGUUUGGAUUGAAAAGAUGGACCACUCUUGUUGAAGGAAGCUUGGGGAUCAGUUAUGCAAUUUCCUUAAAGGAAUUCAGCCUUCUCUUCCCCUCCUUUGACUUCCUCACUCAGCUCCUAUGUACAUUUUCUGUCCUAGAUAUACAUACUGUUGUGUUAGACAGACUUUACAAUAUUUGAAAUAUGAAUAACAGACAUUCUUUAUUCAUUUGCUUUUUCCUUUAUCUAUAUAUGGACAAGCUAAACUUCUCUGAAUGAUUCCAGACCUUGUUCAAGAGAUUCUGCACACAAGGGAUUAAACAAACACUGUUACUCUUGAACCAGAAUAUGUGGGGGAACCUCACACACCACAUGGAAUCCCUCCUCAAUCUCGAUUCCAUGCUGUAUCUCAUAUUUCAUGGCUGCUAAUACUUUUGGGAAGCAUAUAUCUUUUUGUUCCAUACUGUGUGUUAUGCCUGAUGCUUUUUAUAAGAAGCUGAAUGAAAUGGGUCAUUUCUUUCAAUAUGUUUUACAGAGAAUCUUAAAUGAUUUUGAAAUAUAGAUGAUAUGGACACCUUGUUUUAAAAAUACUGUGGUUUUUACAACAUAUGGUAAGUAACCUGGUAUCUUUAAUGAUCUAUAUCUUUCAGUAAUUUGUUACAUGGUAAAGAUCAUUUGGGGAAGCCUUACAGUUCCCUGAUCAAGGAUAUCUAUAACUUAAGUAUGGAUGCUAGUCAUGAAGAUUUAUAUAGACGGGAGAGAAGGCACUGGUGUUUACUGAUUGUUUUUUUUUUUCAGUCAAUUUUUUGGAAAUUCAUAGGAUCUAAGUUUUUUCCCAAUAUUUUUUAUCCUGUUUUUCAGAUAUUACAAAUUUAGUCUCUCAAGGCCUUUUAAAAGUCCAUGACCUACAGCACUAAUUUCGAAGCUGCUUUAAGUCAUCCUUACUAUUGAAUGGAUGCCCAUCAAUUAGAGAAUGGCUGGAUAAAUUGUGGUAUAUGAAUGUUAUGGAAUAUUAUUGUUCUGUAAGAAAUGACCAGCAGGAUGAAUACAGAGAGGACUGGUGAGACUUACAUGAACUGAUGCUAAGUGAAAUGAGCAGAACUAGGAGAUCAUUAUACACUUCAACAACGAUACUGUAUGAGGAUGUAUUCUGAUGGAAGUGGAUUUCUUUGACAAAGAGACCUAACUCAGUUGCAAUUGAUAAAUGAUGGACAGAAGCAGCUACACCCAAAAAAAGAA